UCGAGUUUCUUCUUGGGUGGCAAUUUCACUCUCCAAUACAAAUUAUAAAGAAUUCAUGAAGUAUUUUUGUUGUUCCGAUUGAAUUUUUAUCAACAACGAAUGAUUAUUUACAAAUAGUUGGGUUCAUAGCGGUCUUGAAUUUUCCAGGAAGACUAAGAGAUUGGUCUGCGAUCGAUUACGAUUAACAGUUGAAAGUUCAGUGAAGUGACUUGGUGUCUGUGCAUGAUUCUGCCGAGGUUCAGACUCUGGGCUAAUUGAAACUGGUGUUCAAGUGGCUCUUUUAGUAUUUUUGAUCAUAAUAUGUACUUUCUUGUGGUUUUCUUCAUGCUGUUCUCACCCUCACUUGAAGCUAGCAUAGUGAUAACAGUACCACCCAAUAUUCACGUUUCUACUAUAAAAAAUCCUUUUCCAUACUUUCAAGAGAAUCAUCCAUCAAUGAUGAAUGACGGCGAAGUGGAGCAGUUGAUCCAAAAAUGGUUGGAAAAAAGGACUGUAGCAAAAAUUCAUCAACAGCAAAUGCUAAAUCGUGCAGAUGUGAAACAGUUAAAACCUAUUAUCAAAAGUGAUCGGAUGAAGAAAAUUGUUUCUGUUUGUACUAAUGCGUUCGCCAAUACAAAAGACAACCCGGUGGCACGUGUCUUCUCAUGUGUUUUACAAGGAUUCGAAAAAUCCUAAAAACAGUUGUGUUCCAGAUUCCUUAGGCUGGAAUUCAAAAAUUUUGAGGAUCAUUAGUUCUGAAUAAGAAUUUGAAAACGUUAAUUCAGAUUCUGAAAUGGAGUGAUGUAACUGGUGCAUAAUUUUCAAAAAUAUUUUUAUUGUACAUACAAGAGUACAUCUAUAAUUCCACAUCUAGAAAAGACAUGAGGGUCAUUUUAUAUUUGAUGCUAGAGGGUGGAUAAAUUGAAAACAAUCUGCUUUUUGAAUAAUCUGAAGUCUGUUUAUGAAACAGACUUUUGGAGAGCUUCAGCUUUCGCAGUGGGGUUAUUCAUAAAUUGGUUUUGGAAAUAAUGAUCAACUUUAAUUUUUUCAUUUUCAUUUCAAAGGAUUGUUAAUUCAUCAAUGAUGAAUGUACUCUCUGAUAUGUAUCACACCAUCAUAACCUUAGUUAAAUCAAAAAAACGCUCAUGAAUAAGGAAAGUAUGACCCUUUUAACCAAUAUUUGUCAGACAUGGAGUGAAAUUUGUCAGAAGUACGAAUAUAAAGGUGGGUGGUAGAGAGAAAUUGAGUCUACCUUCAUCCGAGAAUAUUGCUGCUUCUAUAAUGAAAAGUAGCCAAUUUUAAAGAUGAGUCUGAUUUUGGAAUUGAUGAGCAGCUUUAAGACAAAUAACAUCAUUAUCUACCUUUGUACAUGAAAUUAUUUGAGAAUACAGUCUCUUCCCAUAAGAAUAAAAUUAUGGACUUCAAUAUUUCUUUGGAAAUAUAAUAUUGAGAAAUAUCGAGAUAUUGAAAAUAUUAUAUGAAAUUAAUUUUUUUGAUAUAAAGUUCCGAUGUUAUUUUUAUAACUAUUAAGAGAUCUUUGCCUUUCUGAUUAACCCUUUUGAGAAAUAAUUAAUUCCAGCAUUUUUUGCUAGUUCACUGAAUAUUUUUUUAGGCGAAUGUUAGUUCGAAUAUUGUUCAUUAUUAUAGCGCAGAUUCAUAAGAUUUCGCAAGAAAUGUAGGCCAAUAAAUCAACUAUAUUUUAGUAUUCUAUUUUAUAUUAUUUAUUUGAUUUUAAAUUAUUUAUUUCUGUGAUAAACCAUUGUAGCAUUUUUAUAUGAAAAGAAUUGAAUAAACACGUGAAAGUUUAA